UACGGGGGGGGGCAAGCGUUGUUCGGAAUUACUGGGCGUAAAGGGCUCGUAGGCGGCCAACUAAGUCAGACGUGAAAUCCCUCGGCUUAACCGGGGAACGGCCUCUGAUACUGGCUGGCUGGAGUUCGGGAGAGGGAUGCGGAAUUCCAGGUGUAGCGGUGAAAUGCGUAGAUAUCUGGAGGAACACCGGUGGCGAAGGCGGCAUCCUGGACCGAUAUUGACGCUGAGGAGCGAAAGCCAGGGGAGCAAACGGGG
rnacentral:rRNA from 1 species